AUCCUUCUUUUAAUUACCUCCAAUACCUACUUGAAAGACCUAAACCUCCCAGACCCUCUCCAUCAUCCUCCACCAUCCAUAGCUUUCGAAUUUUUUUCCCUUUCAGCUCUAGCUCACUUGGAACUGCACACGUUAGGGAUACCAUGCAGUAGAAAAAGUGCAGUUUUAGGUGUUUCUCAAUACUGUAACACUUCAGCUCCAACUCAAGUCAAACUGCAUGCA
rnacentral:lncRNA from 1 species